rnacentral:tRNA from 1 species
AGCUGAAUAGCUCAGUCGGUUGAGCAUGAGACUCAUAAUCUCAGGGUUGUGGGUUUGAGCCCUAUGCUGGGCAA